CGAUGAACAUAUGAAGAGUUUGGUUCCAAAACGCAAUAAAUCCAUUUUGACAAAUUUCGGUAAAAACGUGUUUUCUAUACCAAGAAAGUGACAAGAUGAAAACCACUAUUUUCUGUUACAAACUUUCACAUAGCAUCUUUAGGUUAUAAAAACAUAAAAAAUUCAAAUCCAUAACUUGAUUUUCAAAGAUUUAUUAUAAAAACUAAUUCUUUUUUCCACAAAAUGCAAUAAAUCCAUGACAGUUUUUUAUUUCAAAAUGCUAUAAAUCUAUUAAAUCAAUGUAUAAAUGUGCAUUCAUCUUUACCAUUUUAUAUUUAUUUAGUUGACUAGUGGUAUACAAUUAUUAAAAAAUAAACAUUAAUGGCAUUAACCAAAACACUUACUUUGUUAUAUUAAGAACACAAUGUUUUAGCAUGAGAAGCUUGAUGCUGUCUGGAGAACAAGCAACCGAGUGCCUCUCGCGGAAAUAUUAGCUGUUGAUGGCUUACGUUUCUUUCCCGUCACAGAAAACCAUCACAGGUCUCUUCCAAAGCCGUCUGGUUUGCCUCUGACGAAUUGACGCAUCAACAAUUUGAUAGAGCAGGUUCAGACAGACGGUGAAGUAAGAGGGAUGCAAUGAACCCUGACUGCGAGUGCCGAUGGCGCUGCCCCGAGGGAAUGUGUGCAUGUGUGUGUGGAGCCAUGAUGGACGGGUAAAAGACAGGGUGCAGUGCCCCGGCAGGUGAAGCUGAGUGGCACAAAGGUUGCGGUUGUUCGCCAUGAGAUUGUUGUUGCGUCAGUCUCUAACUUAUUGCGUCUCUCAAUCACUCUUUACCUUUGUCAAGCUGAAAGUUUAUGCAAAUAAAUGUAUUUUGAAUCUCUUUAUAUCCACCUUUACAAACAGCAUUGCAGCUUUGCCAAAUCACAGGCUGAAAAUUGCUUUAGCGGCAAAGAAUGCACCCUGAGCAGUCUUUAACGUGAAGGAGGGCUGC